AGCUUCAGGCUGAACAAACUUUCAAAUUAUAACAUUUAAAGCAUGUAUCCUUUCCUUUAAUAACAGGAAUUAAUUAUUUAGUUCUAAUUUUUUUUAAAUCACAAUCAAGAUGCUUCUCUGCUAUUGUUUCAAUGGAAACAAUGAAGUCAAGUAACAGUGACUAAAUGUACUAAAUGACCAGUGACUUUAUUGUCUCCUAUAGCAGUGUCUUUCAACAAAGCAAAUAUGCAAAGUACAGUACAUUUAAAUUUAAAAUUUUUUUGCUAUCAAAAACCUGAUCUCAAUACAAUCGACAAAUAUCUUCUCUGAUUACCUUUUCAAGCAAAUAAAUCUUAUUACACUUCUGGAAUGACAAAAAAAAAUGACUUAAAAUUACAAAAAAAAAAAAUUUCACAAAUUACAAAAAAAAAAAAAAAAAAC